rnacentral:miRNA from 6 species
UUUUGCACCUUUUGGAGUGAA